UGAAAUAGUAAUGGGCUAUUCCAUUUAAUAUCCGUACCCCCCCUGUCGAGGAUACCUGGAAUUCUUCAGGGGUACAGUGUUUUGAGCUUGGAAUUCUUCAGGGGUAAAGGAUUUUGAGUUUGGAAUUCUUCAGGGGUAGAGUGUUUUGAGCUUGGAAUUCUUCAGGGGUAAAGGAUUUUGAGUUUGGAAUUCUUCAGGGGUACAGUGUUUUGAGCUUGGAAUUCUUCAGGGGUAAAGGAUUUUGAGUUUGGAAUUCUUCAGGGGUAGAGUGUUUUGAGUUUGGAAUUCUUAAGGGGUAAAUGAUUUUGAGUUUGGAAUUCUUCAGGGGUACAGUGUUUUGAGUUUGGAAUUCUUAAGGGGUAAAGGAUUUUGAGUUUGGAAUUCUUCAGGGGUACAGUGUUUUGAGCUUGGAAUUCUUCAGGGGUAAAGGAUUUUGAGUUUGGAAUUCUUCAGGGGUAAAGGAUUUUGAGUUUGGAAUUCUUCAGGGGUAGAGUGUUUUGAGUUUGGAAUUCUUCAGGGGUAAAGGGUUUUGAGCUUGGAAUUCUUCAGGGGUAAAGUGUUUUGAGUUUGGAAUUCUUCAGGGGUAAAUGGUUUUGAGCUUGGAAUUCUUCAGGUGUAAAGGGUUUUGAGCUUGGAAUUCUUCAGGGGUAAAGAGGUUUGAGAUUGAAAUUUUUCAGAGCUUGGAAUUCUUCAGGGGUGAAGGGAUUUGAGCUUGGAAUUCUGCAGGGGUAAAAGGUUUUGAGCUUGAAAUUCUUCAGGGGUAAAGGGUUUUGAGCUUGGAAUUCUUUAGGGGUGAUGGGUUUUGAGCUUGGAAUUCUUCAGGGGUAAAAGGUUUUGGGCUUGGAAUUCUUCAGGGGUAAAGGGUUUUGAGCUUGGAAUUUUGGAAUUCUUCAGGGGUAAACAGUUUUGAGCUUGGAAUUCUUCAGGGGUAUGACAAUGAAAAACAUGUAUCCUCGACAGGGGGGGUACGGAUAUUUUUCAAUUUUUUAACAUUUAGACUUUACCUUAUUUGACAUGAAAUUGAGAAGCAUAAAGAUGAAACUGAC